GACGAACGCUGGCGGCGUGCCUAAUACAUGCAAGUAGAACGCUGAAGAGAGGAGCUUGCUCUUCUUGGAUGAGUUGCGAACGGGUGAGUAACGCGUAGGUAACCUGCCUUGUAGCGGGGGAUAACUAUUGGAAACGAUAGCUAAUACCGCAUAACAAUGGAUGACACAUGUCAUUUAUUUGAAAGGGGCAAUUGCUCCACUACAAGAUGGACCUGCGUUGUAUUAGCUAGUAGGUGAGGUAAUGGCUCACCUAGGCGACGAUACAUAGCCGACCUGAGAGGGUGAUCGGCCACACUGGGACUGAGACACGGCCCAGACUCCUACGGGAGGCAGCAGUAGGGAAUCUUCGGCAAUGGGGGCAACCCUGACCGAGCAACGCCGCGUGAGUGAAGAAGGUUUUCGGAUCGUAAAGCUCUGUUGUAAGUCAAGAACGGGUGUGAGAGUGGAAAGUUCACACUGUGACGGUAGCUUACCAGAAAGGGACGGCUAACUACGUGCCAGCAGCCGCGGUAAUACGUAGGUCCCGAGCGUUGUCCGGAUUUAUUGGGCGUAAAGCGAGCGCGGCGGUUUGAUAGUCUGAAGUUAAAAGGCUGUGGCUCAACCAUAGUUCGCUUUGGAAACUGUCAAACUUGAGUGCAGAAGGGGAGAGUGGAAUUCCAUGUGUAGCGGUGAAAUGCGUAGAUAUAUGGAGGAACACCGGUGGCGAAAGCGGCUCUCUGGUCUGUAACUGACGCUGAGGCUCGAAAGCGUGGGGAGCGAACAGGAUUAGAUACCCUGGUAGUCCACGCCGUAAACGAUGAGUGCUAGGUGUUGGAUCCUUUCCGGGAUUCAGUGCCGCAGCUAACGCAUUAAGCACUCCGCCUGGGGAGUACGACCGCAAGGUUGAAACUCAAAGGAAUUGACGGGGGCCCGCACAAGCGGUGGAGCAUGUGGUUUAAUUCGAAGCAACGCGAAGAACCUUACCAGGUCUUGACAUCCCGAUGCUAUUUCUAGAGAUAGAAAGUUACUUCGGUACAUCGGUGACAGGUGGUGCAUGGUUGUCGUCAGCUCGUGUCGUGAGAUGUUGGGUUAAGUCCCGCAACGAGCGCAACCCCUAUUGUUAGUUGCCAUCAUUCAGUUGGGCACUCUAGCGAGACUGCCGGUAAUAAACCGGAGGAAGGUGGGGAUGACGUCAAAUCAUCAUGCCCCUUAUGACCUGGGCUACACACGUGCUACAAUGGUUGGUACAACGAGUUGCGAGUCGGUGACGGCGAGCUAAUCUCUUAAAGCCAAUCUCAGUUCGGAUUGUAGGCUGCAACUCGCCUACAUGAAGUCGGAAUCGCUAGUAAUCGCGGAUCAGCACGCCGCGGUGAAUACGUUCCCGGGCCU
rnacentral:rRNA from 1 species